rnacentral:misc_RNA from 1 species
CCGUCAAUUCCUUUGAGUUUCAACCUUGCGGUCGUACUCCCCAGGCGGAGUGCUUAAUGCGUUAGCUGCAGCACUAAGGGGCGGAAACCCCCUAACACUUAGCACUCAUCGUUUACGGCGUGGACUACCAGGGUAUCUAAUCCUGUUUGAUCCCCACGCUUUCGCACAUCAGCGUCAGUUACAGACCAGAAAGUCGCCUUCGCCACUGGUGUUCCUCCAUAUCUCUGCGCAUUUCACCGCUACACAUGGAAUUCCACUUUCCUCUUCUGCACUCAAGUUUCCCAGUUUCCAAUGACCCUCCACGGUUGAGCCGUGGGCUUUCACAUCAGACUUAAGAAACCGCCUACGCGCGCUUUACGCCCAAUAAUUCCGGAUAACGCUUGCCACCUACGUAUUACCG